rnacentral:rRNA from 1 species
AGGAACGCGAAGAACCUUACCAGGUCUUGACAUCUUUUGAUCACCUGAGAGAUCAGGUUUCCCCUUCGGGGGCAAAAUGACAGGUGGUGCAUGGUUGUCGUCAGCUCGUGUCGUGAGAUGUUGGGUUAAGUCCCGCAACGAGCGCAACCCUUAUGACUAGUUGCCAGCAUUUAGUUGGGCACUCUAGUAAGACUGCCGGUGACAAACCGGAGGAAGGUGGGGAUGACGUCAAAUCAUCAUGCCCCUUAUGACCUGGGCUACACACGUGCUACAAUGGAUGGUACAACGAGUUGCGAGACCGCGAGGUCAAGCUAAUCUCUUAAAGCCAUUCUCAGUUCGGACUGUAGGCUGCAACUCGCCUACACGAAGUCGGAAUCGCUAGUAAUCGCGGGAUCAGCACGCCGCGGUGAAUACGUUCCCGGGUCUUGU